rnacentral:rRNA from 1 species
CCUACGGGUGGCAGCAGUGGGGAAUAUUGCACAAUGGGGGAAACCCUGAUGCAGCGACGCCGCGUGAGUGAAGAAGUAUUUCGGUACGUAAAGCUCUAUUAUCAGGGAAGAAAAAAAGGCCUGUGGACUUUGAAUGGUACCUGACCAAGUAGCUCCGGCUAACUACGUGCCAGCAGCCGUGGUAAUCCGUAGGUGGCAAGCGUUAUUCGGAUUUACUGGGAGUAAAGGGCGCGUAGACGGGAGAGCAAGUCUGGUGUGAAAUGCCGGGGCCCAACCCCCGAACUGCUUUUGAAACUGUGCAGCUGGAGUGCAGGAGAGGUAAGCGGAAUUCCUAGUGUAGCGGUGAAAUGCGUAGAUAUUAGGAGGAACACCAGUGGCGAAGGCGGAUUACUGGACUGUAACUGACGUUGAGGCUCGAAAGCGUGGGGAGCAAACAGGAUUAGAUACCCUGGUAGUC